rnacentral:rRNA from 1 species
AACGAACGCUGGCGGCAUGCCUAGCACAUGCAAGUCGAACGAGACCUUCGGGUCUAGUGGCGCACGGGUGCGUAACGCGUGGGAACCUGCCCUUAGGUUCGGAAUAACUCCCCGAAAGGGGUGCUAAUACCGGAUAAUGUCUUCGGACCAAAGAUUUAUCGCCUUUGGAUGGGCCCGCGUUGGAUUAGCUAGUUGGUAGGGUAAAAGCCUACCAAGGCGACGAUCCAUAGCUGGUCUGAGAGGAUGAUCAGCCACACUGGGACUGAGACACGGCCCAGACUCCUACGGGAGGCAGCAGUGGGGGAUAUUGGACAAUGGGGGAAAGCCUGAUCCAGCAAUGCCGCGUGAGUGAUGAAGGCCUUAGGGUUGUAAAGCUCUUUUACCCGGGAUGAUAAUGACAGUACCGGGAGAAUAAGCUCCGGCUAACUCCGUG